rnacentral:rRNA from 12 species
CGUCAGCUCGUGUCGUGAGAUGUUCGGUUAAGUCCGGCAACGAGCGCAACCCACAUCUUUAGUUGCCAGCAGUUCGGCUGGGCACUCUAGAGAAACUGCCCGUGAUAAGCGGGAGGAAGGUGUGGAUGACGUCAAGUCCUCAUGGCCCUUACGGGUUGGGCUACACACGUGCUACAAUGGUAGUGACAAUGGGUUAAUCCCAAAAAGCUAUCUCAGUUCGGAUUGGGGUCUGCAACUCGACCCCAUGAAGUCGGAAUCGCUAGUAAUCGCGUAACAGCAUGACGCGGUGAAUACGUUCCCGGGCCUUGUACACACCG